GACGAACGCUGGCGGCGUGCUUAACACAUGCAAGUCGAACGAAGUGGCGAACGGGUGAGUAACGCGUAAUCAACCUGCCCUUCAGAGGGGGACAAAAGUUGGAAACGACGGCUAAUACCGCAUACUGAAGGAGGGGAUUGCGUUGGAUUAGCUAGUUGGUGGGGGAACGGCCCACCAAGGCGAUGAUCAGUAGGCGGGCUGGAGGGGUGAACGGCCAAAAUGGGACUGGGACACGGCCCAGACUCCUUAUGGAAGCAGCAGUGGGGGAGCUUCCGCAAUGGACGGAAGUCUGACGGAGCAACGCCGCGUGGGUGAAGACGGCCUUCGGGUUGUAAAGCUCUGUUAAUCGGGACGCGGUACCGGAAUAGAAAGCCACGGCUAACUACGUGCCAGCAGCCGCGGUAAUUC
rnacentral:rRNA from 1 species